GAGAGUUUGAUCCUGGCUCAGGACGAACGCUGGCGGCGUGCCUAAUACAUGCAAGUCGAGCGGACAGAUGGGAGCUUGCUCCCUGAUGUUAGCGGCGGACGGGUGAGUAACACGUGGGUAACCUGCCUGUAAGACUGGGAUAACUCCGGGAAACCGGGGCUAAUACCGGAUGCUUGUUUGAACCGCAUGGUUCAGACAUAAAAGGUGGCUUCGGCUACCACUUACAGAUGGACCCGCGGCGCAUUAGCUAGUUGGUGAGGUAACGGCUCACCAAGGCGACGAUGCGUAGCCGACCUGAGAGGGUGAUCGGCCACACUGGGACUGAGACACGGCCCAGACUCCUACGGGAGGCAGCAGUAGGGAAUCUUCCGCAAUGGACGAAAGUCUGACGGAGCAACGCCGCGUGAGUGAUGAAGGUUUUCGGAUCGUAAAGCUCUGUUGUUAGGGAAGAACAAGUGCCGUUCAAAUAGGGCGGCACCUUGACGGUACCUAACCAGAAAGCCACGGCUAACUACGUGCCAGCAGCCGCGGUAAUACGUAGGUGGCAAGCGUUGUCCGGAAUUAUUGGGCGUAAAGGGCUCGCAGGCGGUUUCUUAAGUCUGAUGUGAAAGCCCCCGGCUCAACCGGGGAGGGUCAUUGGAAACUGGGGAACUUGAGUGCAGAAAAGGAGAGUGGAAUUCCACGUGUAGCGGUGAAAUGCGUAGAGAUGUGGAGGAACACCAGUGGCGAAGGCGACUCUCUGGUCUGUAACUGACGCUGAGGAGCGAAAGCGUGGGGAGCGAACAGGAUUAGAUACCCUGGUAGUCCACGCCGUAAACGAUGAGUGCUAAGUGUUAGGGGGUUUCCGCCCCUUAGUGCUGCAGCUAACGCAUUAAGCACUCCGCCUGGGGAGUACGGUCGCAAGACUGAAACUCAAAGGAAUUGACGGGGGC
rnacentral:rRNA from 1 species